AGAAAACAGCUGGCAGCGGAGGGGUAAACCUCUUUGGGCUGCUGAGCUGUGUGCUGAACCAUAAGGAAGGUGGCUGUAAAGGUGUGCCGUGCAGAUGUCGUGUGCCCAGCAGUCGGGCCGAUGAAGAGCAACAAAUGAAGCGCCAGGCUCCACAGUGCCACUGAUGGGUUGAAGGCCCCUUCUUCCCACGCGCCGCCGCCUUCAGCCCGAGCUCUGUGGUGGGCACUGGGAAGAUGCUUCCACACCGAAGCCCAUCCUGCUGCCAAGGCGACCCCCAGCCCGGCUCAAGGGCCCACCCUCUGUCUCAGCAGUGAUGAGCCCAUGGCCAAACUCCCCCGUCCCCGCGGAGGCAGAAGGGCAGAGCUUUGGCCUCUGCCGCACACCACGGCACUGACCUGCAGGACGUCAUUUUUCCAAGCUGCCAAUAUCCAGAGAAAGGCUCCAGCUGUAGGGGGCCAUCAGUCGGGAGAGACAGUUAGUUUGCUCAGACUGCUCUGAGCCCUGCAGCCCCGUUUUCCUCCUCCAGACCCAGCAGGGACACGCUGUGUGGGACAGUCCUGCUCCCCGGCUCUGCUGGGACGGCCCUGGGUGGGGAACACUCACCAGAAAGGACUACUAGAAGCAGGACGGGAGUUCUCCUUCCCCUCUCUUUGGCAGCGUGUUGCCUAAGGGAGAGAUCAGAUGGUGGUUAUCACAGCCCAGCGCUGGGACACGCUCUGCUGGGAUCCUUUUAGCCCCAUUUGGCUCUGCCCAGAGCAGGAGCAGGGCUGUGCCCACGGAAGGGGACGUUGUGCCACCCAGCUGGAGGAAGCCCGGCAGCACGCAGUGCUUCUGGCUUCCCCUCCCUGCGUUCUGGGCCCUGCUGCACCCACCUGCCCAGAUGGGCCGGCAUUUUGGCACCUUCACUCCUCUGACAGACACAGGGAACGGCUCGCUCUCCUCCCAGGACACAAGCAGCUCUUGACGUGCGGAAAUCAGACCCAAGAGCCAGUAAGGAUAUAGAGCAGGUAUGUGUCUAUUGGUGACGCGCGUACACCCUGGUGCAAGGGGGAUCGUUCCACCUAACUUGCACACUGUCCGAAGAAGUCGUGCUAUAGAUAUAGGUCAAACUAAUACAUAAUCAAUAGUUGACAGGCCAUACAAGGCAAGGCAAGGCCAGGCCAGUUCAGUGCAGUUUAGGCCAGGCAUGGCAAGGAUAGGCCAGGCCACGGCAGGCCAGGCAAUGCAAGGCUAGGCACGACCAACACAAUCAAGGCAAGGCCCGGCCACGCAAGUCAAGGCAAUGCCAAGCAAGGCAAGGCAAGGCAAUGACAAACCAGUCCAAGCUUACGAAGGCCAGGCAAGGCCAGGCCAGUCCGGGCAAGGUAAGGCAAGGCAAGGCCACGCAAGGCAAGGCAAGGCCAGGCCAUUAAAGGCCAUGCAAGGCAAGGCAAGGCCAGGCCAUGAAAGUCCAGGCCAGGAGAGGCAAGGCCAGGAAAGGCCAGGGAACACAAGGCAAGGCAAGGCAAGGCCAGGAAAGGCCAGACCAGAUGAGGCGAGGCCAGGACAGGCCAGGACAGCCCAACCAGGUCAGGAAAGGCCAGGCAAAGCAAGGCAUGGCCAGGCCAGCAAGGCAAAGCAAGGCCAGGCCAGUCCAUGCCAGGUCAGGACAGGCCAGCCCAGGCCAGGCACAGCCAGGCGGGGCAAGGCAAGUCAAGGCCAGACCAGGACAGGCCAAGGCAGUCCAGGCAUGGCCAGGCCAGUCCAGGUAAGGCAUGGAGAGGAAAGGCCAGGCAAGUUUAGGCGAGGUAAGCAAAGGUCAGAUGAGGCUAGGUGAUGCCAGACCAGGCAAGGCGAGGCGAGUCCAGGCUAGACAAGAAAAG
ensembl:lncRNA